rnacentral:rRNA from 1 species
GUGAGGAAUAUUGGUCAAUGGGCGGGAGCCUGAACCAGCCAAGUCGCGUGAAGGAAGAAGGAUCUAUGGUUCGUAAACUUCUUUUGCAGGGGAAUAAAGUGCAGGACGUGUCCUGUUUUGUAUGUACCCUGAGAAUAAGGAUCGGCUAACUCCGUGCCAGCAGCCGCGGUAAUACGGAGGAUCCGAGCGUUAUCCGGAUUUAUUGGGUUUAAAGGGUGCGUAGGUGGUUUGAUAAGUCAGCGGUGAAAGUUUGCAGCUUAACUGUAAAAAUGCCGUUGAAACUGUCGGACUUGAGUGUAAAUGAUGUAGGCGGAAUGCGUGGUGUAGCGGUGAAAUGCAUAGAUAUCACGCAGAACUCCGAUUGCGAAGGCAGCUUACUAAGCUACAACUGACACUGAAGCACGAAAGCGUGGGGAUCAAACAGGAUUAGAUACCCCGGUAGUCC